rnacentral:ncRNA from 2 species
GUCAUAAGUUCUGCAUGAAUAACACCAAACACAUCUGCCCGCAUACAAUAUUUGCAAACCGUGGUGGUGCAUGGCCGUUCUUAGUUGGUGGAGCGAUUUUUCUGGUUAAUUCCAUUAACAAACGAGACCUCAGCUGCUAACUAGCUAUGCGGAGGAUUCCUUCGCGGCCAGCAUCUUAGAGGGACUAUGGCCGCUUAGGCCAAGGAAGUUUGAGGCAAUAGUAGGUCUGUGAUGCCCUUAGAUGUU